rnacentral:rRNA from 1 species
GAUGAACGCUGGCGGCGUGCCUAAUACAUGCAAGUCGAGCGAACAGACGAGGAGCUUGCUCCUCUGACGUUAGCGGCGGACGGGUGAGUAACACGUGGAUAACCUACCUAUAAGACUGGGAUAACUUCGGGAAACCGGAGCUAAUACCGGAUAACAUGUUGAACCGCAUGGUUCAACAGUGAAAGACGGUCUUGCUGUCACUUAUAGAUGGAUCCGCGCCGCAUUAGCUAGUUGGUAAGGUAACGGCUUACCAAGGCAACGAUGCGUAGCCGACCUGAGAGGGUGAUCGGCCACACUGGAACUGAGACACGGUCCAGACUCCUACGGGAGGCAGCAGUAGGGAAUCUUCCGCAAUGGGCGAAAGCCUGACGGAGCAACGCCGCGUGAGUGAUCAAGGUCUUCGGAUCGUAAAACUCUGUUAUUAGGGAAGAACAAAUGUGUAAGUAACUAUGCACGUCUUGACGGUACCUAAUCAGAAAGCCACGGCUAACUACGUG